AAAACAUGAGACAGGCUGUACAGACAGAAUAACACAGCGAAGACAAGAUUAUUGACAAAUAAAUACUAAGUAAAUAAAUAAGUGCAAACAAACACAAUGGAAUAGGCCAUGAAACAAAGGUCCAUUAUGUUAUGGAACAAAGGUCCAUUAUGUUAUGGAACAAAGGUCCAUUAUGUUAUGGAACAAAGGUCCAUUAUGUUAUGGAAUAAAGGUCCAUUAUGUUAUGGAACAAAGGUCCAUUAUGUUAUGGAACAAAGGUCCAUUAUGUUAUGGAACAAAGGUCCAUUAUGUUAUGGAACAAAGGUCCAUUAUGUUAUGGAACAAAGGUCCAUUAUGUUAUGGAACAAAGGUCCAUUAUGUUAUGGAACAAAGGUCCAUUAUGUUAUGAAACAAAGGUCCAUUAUGUUAUGAAACAAAGGUCCAUUAUGUUAUGAAACAAAGGUCCAUUAUGUUAUGGAACAAAGGUCCAUUAUGUUAUGAAACAAAGGUCCAUUAUGUUAUGGAACAAAGGUCCAUUAUGUUAUGAAACAAAGGUCCAUUAUGUUAUGAAACAAAGGUCCAUUAUGUUAUGAAACAAAGGUCCAUUAUGUUAUGAAACAAAGGUCCAUUAUGUUAUGGAACAAAGGUCCACUAUGUUAUGAAACAAAGGUCCAUUAUGUUAUGAAACAAAGGUCCAUUAUGUUAUGAAACAAAGGUCCAUUAUGUUAUGGAACAAAGGUCCAUUAUGUUAUGAAACAAAGGUCCAUUAUGUUAUGAAACAAAGGUCCAUUAUGUUAUGGAACAAAGGUCCAUUAUGUUAUGGAACAUAGAGACACAUUCACAAUAUGGCAACAACGCAACUCAACAAUGACAACCACACACUAUAUUUGUAUAUUAUCAUUACGUCAAAAACUAAACGUUUGAAAACAU